rnacentral:rRNA from 1 species
ACCCUCCUCAACUCACAAGGUUGACCUCGGA